AAUGAGCGCUGGCGGCAUGCCUCACACAUGCAAGUCGAACGAGACCUUCGGGUCUAGUGGCGCACGGGUGCGUAACGCGUGGUAAUCUGCGCUGGGGUUCGGAAGCACAGUUAGAAAUGACUGCUCAUACGGGAUGAUGUCGUAAGACCAAAGAUUUAUCGCCCAAGGUUGAGCCCGCGUAGGAUUAGCUAGUAGGUGAGGUAAAGGCUCGCCAAGGCGACGCUGCUUAGCUGGGCUGAGAGGAUGAUCAGCCACACUGGGACUGAGACACGGCACAGACUCUUAGGGGAGGGAGCAGUGGGGGAUCUUGGAAAAUGGGCGAAAGCCUGAUCCUGCUAUGCCGGGUGAGUGCUGAUGGCAAUAGGGUUGUAAGGCUAUUUUACCCGGGAUGAUAAUGACGGUACCGGAUGAAUAAGCUCCGGCUAACUUCGUGCCAGCCGCCGCCGUAAAAC
rnacentral:rRNA from 1 species